UACGUAGGGGGCAAGCGUUGUCCGGAAUCAUUGGGCGUAAAGCGCGCGUAGGCGGCCCGGUAAGUCCGUUGUGAAAGUCAAAGGCUCAACCUUUGAACGCCGAUGGAUACUGCCGGGCUAGAGUCCGGAAGAGGCGAGUGGAAUUCCUGGUGUAGCGGUGGAAUGCGCAGAUAUCAGGAGGAACACCAAUAGCGAAGGCAGCUCGCUGGGACGGGACUGACGCUGAGGCGCGAAAGCGUGGGGAGCGAACAGG
rnacentral:rRNA from 1 species